rnacentral:SRP_RNA from 1 species
GCCGGGCGUGGUGGCGCGUGCCUGUAGUCCCAGCUACUCGGAAGGCUGAGGUGGGAGGAUCGCUUGAGUCCAGGAGUUCUGGGCUGCAGUGCGCUAUGCUGAUCGGGUGUCCGCACUAAGUUCGGCAUCAAUAUGGUGACCUCCCGGGAGCGGGGGACCACCAGGUUGCCUAAGGAGGGGUGAACUGGCCCAGGUCGGAAACGGAGCAGGUCAAAACUCCCGUGCUGAUCAGUAGUGGGAUCGCGCCUGUGAAUAGCCACUGCACUCCAGCCUGGGCAAUAUAGUGAGACCCUGUCUCUU